CCUACGGGAGGCAGCAGUGGGGAAUAUUGCGCAAUGGGCGAAAGCCUGACGCAGCGACGCCGCGUGAGGGAUGAAGGUCUUCUGAUCGUAAACCUCUGUCAGCAGGGAAGAACGGUCACUUUGCUAAUCAGCAGUGAAUUGACGGUACCUGCAAAGGAAGCACCGGCUAACUCCGUGCCAGCAGCCGCGGUAAUACGGAGGGUGCGAGCGUUAAUCGGAAUUACUGGGCGUAAAGCGCUCGUAGGCGGUAUGUCAAGUCAAGGGUGAAAUCCCCGCGCUCAACGUGGGAACUGCCUUUGAAACUGGCAAACUGGAGUGGGUGAGAGGAUAGUGGAAUUCCAGGUGUAGGAGUGAAAUCCGUAGAUAUCUGGAGGAACAUCAGUGGCGAAGGCGACUAUCUGGAACAUAACUGACGCUGAGGAGCGAAAGCGUGGGUAGCAAACAGGAUUAGAUACCCGAGUAGUC
rnacentral:rRNA from 1 species